GUCCACGCCGUAAACGAUGAAUGCUAGCCGUUGGGCAGCUUGCUGUUAAGUGGCGCAGCUAACGCAUUAAGCAUUCCGCCUGGGGAGUACGGCCGCAAGGUUGAAACUCAAAGGAAUUGACGGGGGCCCCGCACAAGCGGUGGAGCAUGUGGUUUAAUUCGACGCAACGCGCAGAACCUUACCAGGGUUUGACAUCCUGCGACCGCCCUCUAAUAGGGGUUUUCCCGCAAGGGACGCAGAGACAGGUGCUGCAUGGCUGUCGU
rnacentral:rRNA from 1 species